UGUGGGAGCGAGCUUGCUCGCGAUGGCGGUAUGUCAGUCGAUACCUUCAUGGCUGAUACACCGCUAUCGCGAGCAAGCUCGCUCCCACA
rnacentral:ncRNA from 2 species